rnacentral:rRNA from 1 species
AUUGAACGCUGGCGGCAGGCCUAACACAUGCAAGUCGAGCGGAUGAGAGGAGCUUGCUUCUCGAUUCAGCGGCGGACGGGUGAGUAACGCCUAGGAAUCUGCCUGAUAGUGGGGGACAACGUUUCGAAAGGAACGCUAAUACCGCAUACGUCCUACGGGAGAAAGCAGGGGACCUUCGGGCCUUGCGCUAUCAGAUGAGCCUAGGUCGGAUUAGCUGUUGGUGAGGUAAUGGCUCACCAAGGCGACGAUCCGUAACUGGUCUGAGAGGAUGAUCAGUCACACUGGAACUGAGACACGGUCCAGACUCCUACGGGAGGCAGCAGUGGGGAAUAUUGGACAAUGGGCGAAAGCCUGAUCCAGCCAUGCCGCGUGUGUGAAGAAGGUCUUCGGAUUGUAAAGCACUUUAAGUUGGGAGGAAGGGUUGUAGAUUAAUACUCUGCAAUUUUGACGUUACCGACAGAAUAAGCACCGGCUAACUCUGUGCCAGCCGCCGCCGUAACAC